rnacentral:rRNA from 1 species
AUUGAACGCUGGCGGCAGGCCUAACACAUGCAAGUCGAGCGGUAGAGAGGAGCUUGCUCCUCUUGAGAGCGGCGGACGGGUGAGUAAUGCCUAGGAAUCUGCCUGGUAGUGGGGGAUAACGUUCGGAAACGGACGCUAAUACCGCAUACGUCCUACGGGAGAAAGCAGGGGACCUUCGGGCCUUGCGCUAUCAGAUGAGCCUAGGUCGGAUUAGCUAGUUGGUGAGGUAAUGGCUCACCAAGGCGACGAUCCGUAACUGGUCUGAGAGGAUGAUCAGUCACACUGGAACUGAGACACGGUCCAGACUCCUACGGGAGGCAGCAGUGGGGAAUAUUGGACAAUGGGCGAAAGCCUGAUCCAGCCAUGCCGCGUGUGUGAAGAAGGUCUUCGGAUUGUAAAGCACUUUAAGUUGGGAGGAAGGGCAGUAAAUUAAUACUUUGCUGUUUUGAC